AAUGAGCUGACGCUUGUUGUGAAAUGGGAAUAAGGCCGCGGGUCAGACCGUUUUAAAAGACAGCCUGCUAAUUUUUUUCAUUGUUAGGUUUUGUAUGAUAACGUAGACAUUUUGAACAUGCACUCCCAAAUUUUAUGUGGCGGCACAGCUGCGGCUGUUGCUGCAAGAAGGGUGCGGUAUAUUUUGGGUUGUGUCCUGGGAAGAGACGGCUGGAUGUUCAGAACUCAUGAGGUCAAACUUCUGAACACAGCCUCAGGUGACACAGUGAAGAUUGGUGAGAUCACUUACAAACUCAAGCCACCCCAGAAUCCAGAGCUUGUUCCUGUGAAACACAUUUCAGACUCCCUACCUCAGACGGUGGCUCAACACCUCCGAUGGAUUAUGCAGAAAGACCUUUUGGGUCAGGAUGUGUUCCUCAUUGGCCCCCAGGACC